AUAUCUAGAUGUCCCCCCAAAGUGUCUGUGCUCAUAGGUGGGGCUUUGGGAGGUGAUUGAGUCAUGAGUGUGGUAUUUAUCACUUGAUUAGGCCACUGGUGAGUUUAUAGCCGGGUGUGAUGUUGGAAGAUGAGUCACAGCCUACAAGGGUAUUUACCCCUCCUCCUCCUCCUCCUGUGAUUCCUGGAUCUCAGAGUCCUGGCUAUGGGAGACACAGUACCGUAUAGCAGACACUAAUUCAAAGUGUAUACAGCCUUUUGAAGAACCUUCCCCAGCCCUAAAAGAUUCCAAAGAUGUGAGUCUAUUCAAAGAUAUGAAAUUACUUGAUGAAGAUUAUAGUGUCUGAGGGGCUAUGCGAUAGCUGGACCAUCAGAACGUCACUAGGAGGGAGGGACACUCCCGUGAGCUGCAGCAUGGCAAGAACUCCCUGAGUUUCCAGAGUCUUCAUCCCCUGCAUGAGGCGACCCUCCACAUGUUUUCAUUGUUCCCUCUUACCAUAAAAAUAUUGUACAAGGGGUAGUCAAAAUAUGCAGUGAACGCUUAAAUUUUAAAAAAUUUAUUACAGUAAAAGACAGUGCCAUGAACCCCCUCAAAACACCUCCCCUUACUUUGAACACAUUUAUCCCAUCACUCUUACAGCUUUCUGAAGCAGUUGUGGAAGUCCUCUUUCCUGUCUCUACAAGGUAUGAUCAAGAAUAAAGUAAACAUAGCUGCCCAGUACCAGUCAAUGAAACGGCAGGCUCAUAAAAACAUUGUAGUGGGUCCUUAUCCAGCUACUAACCAGACCUGGCACCGUAUGACUGCUGGCACUUCCCCAGAGUCAAAAGGACUACAAAAGGUAAGUGUUUUGCAUUGACUCAGGCAUGGAAAUAGCCAGAGCAGUGCAACUGAAGACAUUCAUAAAAGGGGACUUCAGCACUGCUUGGGAGAGUGGCGGGAAUAACGAAUCUAGUGUGUUCCGUGUGAGGGCUGUAUUCUGAGGGGAAAUAAUGGCAAUGCACUUUUUAUCAUAAAUUUCAAACACCAUAAACACCCAUUGU